UCACGAAAGACGGCAAGAGCGAAGUGUGGCCUUCCCGCCUUCCACGCGUGCGCGCCAAAUGACCCCCAACGCGUCCCGUAGCGACCCGCAGGGGGGGAGGGGGGGGACUCGUGAAGCCACGCGCAGCCAUCUUGGUCGGGCAUAUUUGCGGAAUACACCACGCCGCCGUUGACCCUGGCCAUUGACCGAGCAACCCAACGUUCCUUCCAGCUCCCUCUGCAGGUGCGUGACGUCAUUUAGGGACGGCCCGCAAGGCACGGAACGCCGCGGCUAUCGAAGGAGGCACGCGCACCGGUGUCAUCAUCCAGCAGUGGAUUGACCACGAUUAUUGAUGAUGAUGAUGAUGAUAAAGAUGAUAGUUCAAAUUGCUAGACGCAUAUAUUUUACAAAUGUUUGCUUGCUAAGCGAACAACAGUACAGAGAAGACGAGACAACAUUUGAUACUACGUUUUUUUUUUAGCCCGUGGGGAGAUUUUUUAUUUUGAAUAUAUUGGCUGCACAUUCUAUGCUCCCUCCACGUGAAAGCUUAAGGGGCGGCCCGGCAAUGUCUUUGCUCUCGCCACUGCUGGCGGAAAAGCCUCCACUAGAGGGAGCUCC